UCCUGUUCGAGCUUAUAAGCAUCUUGUGUCUUUAAUACCUGGUGAUAAGAAUGCUCCCGUUUUUUGCUUUACCUGUUCAUGGUAAAUUAUUGCCUUUAUCUAGAUCCGUUUUGUUGAACCGUUUUAGAGAGUUAAUUGUUCUUGUUGGUUUAGACCCUUCAGUUUAUUCUUUUCAUUCGCUGAGACACGGAGGGGCUACAUUAGCCACCAAGGCUGGCAUUCCUGAGAUUUUAUUGAAACAUCACGGAGACUGGAGAUCUGAUUGUUUUCAGACUUACAUUAAACAAGCUAGUGUUGAUAUGUAUCGGGUUACGUCAGCUAUGAAUUAUUUGAUUGGUAGUUAGUUUUUGGGUAUUUUCGACCGUGUAUUAUUAUAUUCUUGAUUUGAUG
rnacentral:lncRNA from 1 species